rnacentral:rRNA from 1 species
AUUGAACGCUGGCGGCAGGCCUAACACAUGCAAGUCGGACGGUAGCACAGAGAGCUUGCUCUUGGGUGACGAGUGGCGGACGGGUGAGUAAUGUCUGGGGAUCUGCCCGAUAGAGGGGGAUAACCACUGGAAACGGUGGCUAAUACCGCAUAACGUCGCAAGACCAAAGAGGGGGACCUUCGGGCCUCUCACUAUCGGAUGAACCCAGAUGGGAUUAGCUAGUAGGCGGGGUAAUGGCCCACCUAAGCGACGAUCCCUAGCUGGCCUGAGAGGAUGACCAGCCACACUGGAACUGAGACACGGUCCAGACUCCUACGGGGGGCAGCAGUGGGGAAUAUUGCAAUGGGCGCAAGCCUGAUGCAGCCAUGCCGCGUGUAUGAAGAAGGCCUUCGGGUUGUAAAGUACUUUCAGCGGGGAGGAAGGCGACGCGGUUAAUAACCGCGUCGAUUGACGUUACCCGCAGAAGAAGCACCGGCUAACUCCGUGCCAGCCGCCGCAGUAA